UACAGAGGGUGCAAGCGUUGUUCGGAAUUAUUGGGCGUAAAGGGAGUGUAGGCGGCUAGGAAAGUCUUCUGUGAAAUCUACGGGCUCAGCCUGUAACGUGCAGAGGAAACUAUCUGGCUAGAGUGUCGGAGAGGAUAGGGGAAUACCCAGUGUAGAGGUGAAAUUCGUAGAGAUUGGGUGGAACACCAGUGGCGAAGGCGCCUGUCUGGCUGACAACUGACGCUGAGACUCGAAAAGCAUGGGGGAGCAAACAGG
rnacentral:rRNA from 1 species